GGGAGUGGAUUGGACCUGGUGGUUCACCUGGACUUCAACUCCAGUCGUAUGGCAGUGAUCCUGGCAUAGGUGGGUUCGAUUCCCACACAUUCCCGCCA
rnacentral:tRNA from 1 species